rnacentral:rRNA from 1 species
GACGAACGCUGGCGGCGUGCUUAACACAUGCAAGUCGAACGGAAAGGCCCUGCUUUUGUGGGGUGCUCGAGUGGCGAACGGGUGAGUAACACGUGAGUAACCUGCCCUUGACUUUGGGAUAACUUCAGGAAACUGGGGCUAAUACCGGAUAGGAGCUCCUGCUGCAUGGUGGGGGUUGGAAAGUUUCGGCGGUUGGGGAUGGACUCGCGGCUUAUCAGCUUGUUGGUGGGGUAGUGGCUUACCAAGGCUUUGACGGGUAGCCGGCCUGAGAGGGUGACCGGCCACAUGGGGACUGAGAUACGGCCCAGACUCCUACGGGAGGCAGCAGUGGGGAAUAUUGCACAAUGGGCGGAAGCCUGAUGCAGCAACGCCGCGUGCGGGAGGACGGCCUUCGGGUUGUAAACCGCUUUCGCCUGUGACGAAGCGUGAGUGACGGGAAUGGGUAAAGAAGCACCGGCGAACUACGU